AUCUUCUUCAAGGUCCAUUAGACAUUGAACUAGGCCCAUGUUGCUAGGAAGCCCUAGGCUUCAUCUUUCUAUAAAUAAGGAGCUCUUCCUUAUGAGAAAGGAUAUCAUUUUCUCUCCAUUUUACACUUAGAACACAUCUUGUAAAGAGUUCAUGAUUAUUAGAUUUACUUUACACUAGUAAUCAUACUUGUAAUACAAUCUUUAAUCAAUAAACUCUUUUUAUGUUCAUUUCCCAUUUGAUUUCAUCUAAAGAUUUCUCCUAAGCCUCAAGAAUCUAAUUCUCAUUCUUAGAUUCUUUUAUUGUAUUGAUUCAACCAAAAACACCAGCAUAAACAUCAUUUUUGGAUCAAACAGUUGGCGCUAGAAGGAGGGGGCAAGGAGAACCAUCUUUAAAGCAUAUCAACUUUGGAAAAAUUCUAGAUCUAUCUUCAUCUCAAGCUAAAAGAUAAAGCUUUCUCAUGAAAGCUUUGUUUUUGUUGGGGAUGGGACUCUCAUCAAGCACUUGGUCGGAGUAUUGAAAUCAUCUUUGAAAAAGAUAAGUUUCACAAUCUCAUCUCAUUAUUAAAAUUCGAUUGAUGUUAUGCAUAAUCGUAGACAUACGCUUAAUUUAUCAAAGGAAUGGGGAUAAUAAAAAAAUAUUAUUUAUGACCUUAGGAUGAUUUUUGACCGACGACUCCCAGAGAACUCCGGAGGGGACUCGUAGACAGACGCCGUCGAUGUUCUUUUCUCAUGUUCGUUGGCUUCCAUUCCAUCGCCGCCAACAACGAGCUAGCCUGUGACGGAAGGAGAGAUCGAGCAGAGCUGUUUCGUUGUGUUCCGUCUACGGACAAGGCUUCUCCUGCAGUAGCCGUACCGUCCAGAUGGAGCUCCGGCAAAGGAAACAGAGUGGGUCACGGGUCGAUCCUUGAGCCGACGAGACUCAGACAACUUCUAAUCUCCGGCGAGUUUGUAAAAGGACGAGGUCGUCAUUGCUUCCUCAGAUACGUCGAGCUCCAUUCUGUUAUCGCCUACAACAGGCCAGAUUGGACAAGAACAACGAUUAUCGUUGAUUCCUGAUAGAUUGCGACCAAGGUCAAGACUUGAUCUCGACAACACCGGCAAUCUCGUCAGUCAAGAUCCUAGCAGCUCGUCAUCAGAAGAUUCGAUCUCGGCCACUCCUUGUUGAACGGUUCAUGCCAGCGCGGAAACCUCUACCGAAGACAAGCUAGGUUUUUCGAGGGUUCCUGUAGAGAGCGUUCAUGCCUGUCAAAGUGUCUUCAGUCUCCAGAUUGGAGCCACCGCUUUGCUCGCGGCAGAGACGGGGGUCGGAGAUUUGAUCCUGGUGGCGUUUAGAGCAAACUCUCCCAACAAGCUUAAUCUCAUCAGCGCUGCGGACUUGAUCUCUGGAAAGCUCAACACUUUAUCUCGUCACAAGAUUCUCCUCGCCACGACUCGCUUUGCGAAAGUGAAUAGGCUUCCGAGAAGGAGAUGAGUGUUGAGUUCAAGCUCCAUUAAUGGAAGUAACCAGCUUUACCUCUCUCUGUCAAUCUCGAGCUCCAUACCUCGUCACCACAACCACCUUGUGCUCAUCACGAGGUCUCGGAGGCAGAGGAUCGAUCUACGUCCAGUACUCGGGACGGUCAUCACCUGCUUGGCACGAGCGAUAGAAUAGGAGGAGUGUUCCUCCAUGACGAGGGGAAGCAUCAAUUGGUCAUGAUCAUGCCGACGCCAAGCUCUCCAACAAGGUCGUGCUUCUUCAGGGAACAUCUCGUCUCACUCCGUCAAUGGCUGUUCUCUCGUUAUGACAGAAUCCUUGAGCUCGUGCGGUUUAAACGCCGGACAACAGGCACGUGCUUUACUCGGCACUGGCCACGUCUUCAAGCGCUCCACCGCUAGAAGCUUGUUCCUGGCUUCAAGCACUGCUUCAAAACUCCAAAAGGAACAGAAGAAAACAGAGGACAUGACCAUUGUGGUCUCUCUUCACGGUCCACUCAUGGUCAUCUACAAUUAAAAAAAAAAAAGAUAAGUUUUCGAACCUUGGAAUAUGACCUACUAUUAUUAGAAGUUGCGUUGCUAAAUAAUCACUAGAUCAUCAUACUAAGAUUAUGAGCUCCGCCUUGUCUCGUAACGUCUUUAGAAAGUUAAUUGUCUAGCUUUUUCUUCUCGUGAAUAUACAUGUUAAACAUUACUAUACAUACGUAUAUCACGCUUUGACCAUAUUAUUUUUAUGGUCACAGGAGGAGAAGAAGCCAAGCUUUCUUCAAACAUUACAUCAUGAAGCCACACGAUGAGCUUGGCAACGACUUGAUCUCGGCAUCCCGUUAUCAAACUAUUCAUUCUCGGAGUCUAGCUCUCAAGGAUGACGAACUCAUCAAAUACGUGUUUCUCCAACGAUCAUCAAGCCAACAACUUGUUCGGCACACACGAUCUCAACACGAGACUUCGGGUCGGCAAUAGUUCGAGAUCGAUUCCAUCUCUCUCAACGAACUUGGGGGACUUAUUGUUGGGGGUGGAUUUACAUCUUCUUCAAGGUCCAUUAGACAUUGAACUAGGCCCAUGUUGCUAGGAAGCCCUAGGCUUCAUCUUUCUAUAAAUAAGGAGCUCUUCCUUAUGAGAAAGGAUAUCAUCUUCUCUCCAUUUUACACUUAGAACACAUCUUGUAAAGAGUUCAUGAUUAUUAGAUUUACUUUACACUAGUAAUCAUACUUGUAAUACAAUCUUUAAUCAAUAAACUCUUUUUAUGUUCAUU